rnacentral:rRNA from 1 species
UGAAUGUUUGACAGACUUUGAGUAGCAAUACGAUGAGAAUGAAUUUCUGGAUUGGGUUUGCUAGUUAGUGGCGAACGAGGUAGUAAUACAUAGGAACUUCCCCAAGAGUCGUGAAUAAUUCGUCGAAAGACGGACUAAUACACGAUGGUCCCGUAAGGGUAAAGUUUUAACGCUCUUGGAAAGGCCUGUGCGAUAUCAGCUAGUUGGUAGCGUAAUGGACUACCAAGGCUAUGACGUCUAGGGGAGGUGAGAGCCUGACCCCCACCGAUGGUACUGAGACACGGACCAUACACCUACGGGUGGCUGCAGUCGAGAAUCUUCCACAAUGGACGAAAGCCUGAUGGAGCGACGCCGCGUGAUUGAUGAAGCCCCUCUGGGGCGUAAAGAUCUUUUAUGAGGGAAGAAGUUUAUUGACGGUACCUCAUGAAUAAGAGGCUCCUAAUCUCGUGCCAGCAGGAGCGGUAAUACGAGAGCCUCGAGCGUUAUCCGGAAUU